AUCUGGCCAGAUUGGCCAACUUUCACAAAGACAGUGAAACAGGGAAAAGUCAACACUAUCAAAGGCAAAUGGAAAAGCCUGAAAGACGCCUUUAUCCGCCAUAGGCGCAAACAAAGGGAGCAGAGGAGCGGAUCGUCCCCAAGCGCACGCUCCAGUUACGUGCAUGCCCAACAGAUGUCUUUUUUGAUUCCAUGCACGGAAAUGCGGAGCACCGAUAGUAGCUGGGAACCCAGCC